UGUGUGUGUGUGUGUGUGUGUGUGUGUGUGUGUGUGUACUGUUUGGGCUGUUUUGCCAUAAUGAGUUAGAGCAUUUUGUUUAUCUACGCUGUGCGUGUCUCUCUCUCUCUGUGUGUGUGUGUGUGUGUGUGUGUGUGUACUGUUUGGAUUGUGGUGCCAUAAUGAGUUAAAACGUUUUUUGUUUGUCUAUAUUGUGUGUGUGUGUGUGUGUGUGUUUGUGUGUGUGUUUUGAUUUGAUCUGUGGUUUGAGCUAGUUGUCUGAUGUGUGUGUGUGUGUAGAUUUUGAGAGAGUUUGGAGAGUUUAUCUGAAAAGUUUGUGUCUAGUUUAUGUUUCUUUACGGUUUGUGCUGUUGCGUUUUAGUGAAAAUUUAAACCAGCACAGAUUAAGAUUGAGAGGCAGCACAGAGAUUGAGAUUGACAGGCAGCACAGAGAUUACGAUUGAGAGGCAGCACAGAGAUUGAGAGGCAGCACAGAUAUUGAGAUUGAGAGGCAGCACAGAGAUUGAGAUUGAGAGGCAGCACAGAGAUUGAGAGGCAGCACAGAGAUUGAAAGGCAGCAUAGAGAUUAAGAUUGAGAGGCAGCACAGAGAUUGAGAUUGACAGGCAGCACAGAGAUUGAGAUUGAGAGGCAGCACAGAGAUUACGAUUGAGAGGCAGCACAGAGAUUGAGAGGCAGCACAGAUAUUGAGAUUGAGAGGCAGCACAGAGAUUGAGAUUGAGAGGCAGCACAGAGAUUGAGAGGCAGCACAGAGAUUGAAAGGCAGCAUAGAGAUUAAGAUUGAGAGGCAGCACGGAGAUUAAGAUUGAGAGGCAGCACAGAGAUUGAGAUUGAGAGGCAGCACAGAUAAUGAGAUUGAGAGGCCAGCACAGAUUAAGAUUGAGAGGAAGCACAGAGAUUGAGAUUGACAGGCAGCACAGAGAUUAAGAUUGAGAGGCAGCACAGAGAUUGAGAGGCAGCACAGACAUUAAGAUUGAGAGGCAGCACAGAGAUUGAGAGGCAGCACAGAGAUUGAGAGGCAGCACAGAGAUUGAGAUUGAGAGGCAGCACAGACAUUAAGAUUGAGAGGCAGCACAGACAUUAAGAUUGAGAGGCAGCAGAGACAUUAAGAUUGAGAGGCUGCAUAGAGAUUGAGAUUGAGAGGCAGCACAGACAUUAAGAUUGAGAGACGGCACAGAGAUUAA
ensembl:lncRNA